rnacentral:snRNA from 1 species
GUAUCUGAGGGUGAUCUGAUUGGGACAUCUGUCAGCCCAUCGUUAGGGUUGAUUUGGCUGAUCUGCCUGACUAGGCUGUUGCCCCCUUCCUUUAUUCACUGCUCCAUGUGUGUUCCCUGAAAUGUUGUGGUCAUUAGAGAGAAUGAUCACCCCAAUAGAGGAAGACCACACAAUCUCUCUUGGGUAAUAACAGCGGUAUGUGGUAAGGUAAUAAGUAAUUACACCAAUGCUC